CCUACGGGAGGCAGCAGUGAGGAAUAUUGGUCAAUGGGCGCGAGCCUGAACCAGCCAAGUAGCGUGAAGGAUGACUGCCCUACGGGUUGUAAACUUCUUUUAUGAAGGAGAAAAGUAAGGCACGUGUGCCUUUUUGUAUGGACUUUAUGAAUAAGGAUCGGCUAACUCCGUGACAGCAGCCGAGGUAAUACGGAGGGUACGGGCGUUAUGCGGAUUUAUUGGGUUUAAAGGGAGCGUAGAUGGGUUGUUAAGACAGUUGUGAAAGUCUGCGGCUCAACCGUAAAAUUGCAAUUGAUACUGGCAGCCUUGAGUGCAGUUGAGGUAGGCGGAAUUCGUGGUGUAGCAGUGAAAUGCUUAGAUAUCACGAAGAACUCCGAUUGCGAAGGCAGCCUACUAAACUGCAACUGACAUUGAUGCUCGAAAGUGUGGGUAUCAAACAGGAUUAGAUACCCGGGUAGUC
rnacentral:rRNA from 1 species